AUAAAGGAAUUGAAGAUUUGAAUGAAGAUGAGGAAUCGAGAGUUACAUUUGAAUGAUGAAGAUGAACAUGUUCCCGAUUACUAUUAUCAUGAUUAUCGUUACAAUUAGAUGAUUGAAGAUGAAUAUAGAGAAUAAUGAAAAACAAAAAGACUAAUCAUCUAAAUUGAACAAUUAAAUGAAGGAUGAUUAAGUAAUAUAACUUUCAGAGUGGUAAGAAAAAAGUUACAACAAGUUCAAGGGUUAAUCACGAGUGUUGAUUAACAAUUAACAAUUAUGGAUUAUCAUUGAAAGAAAACACAGAGUUGAAUCGGUGAAUAAUGAUUAAGAUGAUGUUGGUGUUGAUGGUGGUGGUGGUGGUGAUGAAGAUUAUCAUCUUCCAUCAUCAUCUUAAAGUCGGUAAUCAAAUGAUGAAGAUUCUCAAUAGGAUAAUAACAGAGGAUGAGAAAAAUUUACCAAGGAAAAAAAAGUUUAAUAACAAUGAUGAUGACAAUGGAAUUGAUAAUGAUUAACCUGAUCAUUGAUAUUUAACUAAAUUGUUGAUGGUUCUAACCUAUUGUAUUAUAAUAAUGUUCAUUAUCGUCGGUAUCAUGGAAAACUUUUGUUGUGUUUCCGUGAUAAGGUCACAAGAAGAGAAGAAAAAAAAAAGUUCCAAAGUUGAGAAAAAUUCUCGGAAUUCUCAGAAUUCUAAUAGUUUUCAUCUUAUUCUUUCAUAUAAAUGAGUUAUGAUUGACAAAGAUGAUUCCAGUUGAAUGGAGGAAAAAUCAUCAUUAUCAUCAUGAACAUCUAAUGAAAUUUUUUCUUCAUUAUUAUUAUUUUGAAUU